rnacentral:rRNA from 1 species
AGAGUUUGAUCAUGGCUCAGGAUGAACGCUGGCGGCGUGCCUAACACAUGCAAGUCGAGCGAUUCUCUUCGGAGAAGAGCGGCGGACGGGUGAGUAACGCGUGGGUAACCUGCCCUGUACACACGGAUAACAUACCGAAAGGUAUGCUAAUACGAGAUAAUAUGCUUUUAUCGCAUGGUAGAAGUAUCAAAGCUUUUGCGGUACAGGAUGGACCCGCGUCUGAUUAGCUAGUUGGUAAGGUAACGGCUUACCAAGGCGACGAUCAGUAGCCGACCUGAGAGGGUGAUCGGCCACAUUGGAACUGAGACACGGUCCAAACUCCUACGGGAGGCAGCAGUGGGGAAUAGUGCACAAUGGGCGAAAGCCUGAUGCAGCAACGCCGCGUGAGCGAUGAAGGCCUUCGGGUCGUAAAGCUCUGUCCUCAAGGAAGAUAAUGACGGUACUUGAGGAGGAAGCCCCGGCUAACUACGUGCCAGCAGCCGCGGUAAUACGUAGGGGGCUAGCGUUAUCCGGAAUUACUGGGCGUAAAGGGUGCGUAGGUGGUUUCUUAAGUCAGAGGUGAAAGGCUACAGCUCAACCGUAGUAAGCCUUUGAAACUGGGAAACUUGAGUGCAGGAGAGGAGAGUGGAAUUCCUAGUGUAGCGGUGAAAUGCGUAGAUAUUAGGAGGAACACCAGUUGCGAAGGCGGCUCUCUGGACUGUAACUGACACUGAGGCACGAAAGCGUGGGGGAGCAAACAGGAUUAGAUACCCUGGUAGU